rnacentral:ncRNA from 1 species
CUAACAUGCCUGCGAGUAUUUGGGUGAAAAACCCGAGUGCGUAAUGAAAGUGAAAGUUGAGAUCCCUGUCGUGGGGAGCAUUGACGCCCGGAUCUGACCUUUUGUGACGAUUCUGCGGUAGAGCAUGUAUGUUGNGACCCGAAAGAUGGUGAACUAUGCCUGAAUAGGGUGAAGCCAGAGGAAACUCUGGUGGAGGCUCGUAGCGAUUCUGACGUGCAAAUCGAUCGUCAAAUUUGGGUAUAGGGGCGAAAGACUAAUCGAACCAUCUAGUAGCUGG